rnacentral:rRNA from 1 species
AACGAACGCUGGCGGCAUGCCUAACACAUGCAAGUCGAACGAGACCUUCGGGUCUAGUGGCGCACGGGUGCGUAACGCGUGGGAACCUGCCCUUAGGCUCGGAAUAACUCUCCGAAAGGGGUGCUAAUACCGGAUAAUUUCUUCGGAUCCAAGAUGUAUCGCCUUUGGAUGGGCCCGCGUUGGAUUAGCUAGUGGGUAGGGUAAAAGCCUACUAAGGAGACGAUCCAUAGCUGGUCUGAGAGCAAGGUCAGCCACACUGGGGCUGAGACACGGCCCGGACUCUUACGGAAGGCAGGAAUGGGGAAUAUUGGACUAUGGGCUAAAGGCUGAACCAGCAAGGCCUGGUGAGUGAUGAAGGCCUGAGAGUUGUAAAGCUCUUUUACCCGGGAUGAUAAUGACGGUACCGGGAGAAUAAGCACCGGCUAACUCCGUG